GUAUGAAAGGAACAACGAUUUAUUAACUGUUUCAAAAUAACACACUAAAAUUACUCAAUGUUGUAAAAAAGCAACAUUAACAAAGCAGGACGACAAGACCCUAUCGAACUUAACACUUUAAGUUAUACUGGGGCGGUCAAAAACUACAUCUUUACUAACCCCUUCAAUAAAAGCUACAAAAUAGAAUUAAAAACAAGUUACCGUAGGGAUAACAGCAUAAUAGCCUACUAAAGCCCUCAUAUAACAGGCUGCUUAUGACCUCGAUGUUGAAUUA
rnacentral:rRNA from 1 species